CCUACGGGUGGCAGCAGUAGGGAAUCUUCCACCAUGGGCGAAAGCCUGAUGGAGCAACGCCGCGUGGGUGAAGAAGGUCUUCGGAUCGUAAAACCCUGUUGUUAGAGAAGAAAGUGCGUGAGAGUAACUGUUCACGUUUCGACGGUAUCUAACCAGACAGCCACGGCUAACUACGUGCCAGCAGCCGCGGUAAUACGUAGGUGGCAAGCGUUAUCCGGAUUUAUUGGGCGUAAAGGGAACGCAGGCGGUCUUUUACGUCUGAUGUGAAAGCCUUCGGCUUAACCGGAGUAGUGCAUUGGAAACUGGGAGACUGGAGUGCAGAAGAGGAGAGUGGAACUCCAUGUGUAGCGGUGAAAUGCGUAGAUAUAUGGAAGAACACCAGUGGCGAAAGCGGCUCGCUGGUCUGUAACUGACGCUGAGGUGCGAAAGCGUGGGUAGCAAACAGGAUUAGAUACCCCAGUAGUC
rnacentral:rRNA from 1 species